GAAAUAACAGUCCCCUCUAUGAAAAGGCCUGAGGUCCCCUGAAGACAUGAAGGUUUGCACCUUUCUCUUAAGAACGGCCCACAUUUGGAAUUCAGUCAGCUGCCAGACAACUCAGGUGGAGACAGAACAUCCAUUCCCCAGGUACAGAGGAGUUGUCUGAAUUCUGCUCACAGGACCAGAGAACUUUGAAUCUGUAAUGCCGUCUGCAAGUUCUAAAUGAGAAGACAUUAUUACUGACCACUGCUCAUUCCUCAUGAAGCUACUGAGGUGAACUAAGUGACCAUUUGAGCUUCUGACCAGAUAAACCUCUAGACUCGAGCAUGAGACCUCCUACAGCCAUAGCCUCCAUUCUCAGCAGGGGUCAAUUUGGUCUUCUUCCCUUGAGCAGAAAAAAAUAAUAUUGGAGCACACUGCUGGCUUGGGACAGGGCUGGGAUUCAACCCCAGGUCUGCCUGGCUCCAAGCCUUGGCUCUUUCACUCCAUUGCACUGGACUUUUGCCAGCCCGUGCCCUGAGAAAUGAGGAUUUGUUUCUUAUAAUGGCUGUCGUGGGACUUCAAAAUCAUUUUGGUUUGCUUUCUCCAGUUUUCUUAACACUGUCCACCUGGGAAAGGGAUGGGUGGUGGGAAAGACAUUUCAGAAAAGUUGCCAUUGGUUUUCAGAAUGAUGUUGGCAGUGGCUUGUGAAAUGGCCUAAAAGUUGAAGGAAUAUGGGUCACCUUAGUAAUAGAGAAGGGGCCAGGUGAUUUGCUGCAAGGAUCUUAACUCCCAGAUGUGUAAUGAAUUCAGGUGUCUAUCCAGGGAAGGGCAAACAGCUCAUUCUGCUUUUCUCUUUUCUGCCUUUCUUGUUUUCUUUCUUCCUGAACCUUCCAUCCAGAGAACAGCCAUUUCUACCACAGUUAGCUGGGGCUGGAGGUGAGAGUGGGUGGAAUAAACUAGAAAAUUUCUCUA